rnacentral:rRNA from 1 species
GGUGGCCAUUUUAUUUUAUUAGAGGAAUAUGUCACCUAAUUGAUAAUACACAAUAAAUUUCACUUUUAGUUAUAUUUUAUAUACCACCAUCUAAAAAUUAAAUUUAAAAAUUUAAUUAUAAAAAAAUUAUAAUAAGUUAGGUAAAGGUGUAGACUAUAAAAAAGAAAAAGAUGUAUUACAUUAAAAAAUAUUUAAGGAAAAAAUUUCAUAAAAUUUUUUGAAAAAGGAUUUAAAAGUAAUUUUUUAGUAAUUUUAAAAAUUGAAUAAGAAAAUAAAUGUGCACACAUCGCCCGUCGCUCUU